GUGAGGCGGUGCGCCCAUGUGGACAGAUAGUGGGAAACAGUAUUUGUUAGGGAGGGGGCGGAAGAGGGAAUCUCCGGCUCGCGGCGUGUCAGCCGUUCCUAUGGUUACGAACGGGGGCGGGGUUUCUGGCAGCGUGAGGAUUGUUUGCAGGAGUCACUGGGUUCACGCUGGAGCAAGAAGUUGUGGCUGCCACUGGCUUGUGUUUAUGAUUAUGUCUGCACUAUUCGAGAGGAAAUAAAUGCCGUGGAAAAUGGAACUCGGCAAUAUUUCCUUGUGAGAUUUGGGGGCUGAACAAAAUCAGGACUCACUUAUCAAGGAAGAAGGGCAAACGGCUAUUGAGUGGUCAAGCUAGAGCCAUUUCACUGGCUAAUCUGAGUCUGACCAAGUUUGCUAUAGAGCAGAGCUGCCUCAGCUAGAGCUUAAAAAAGGAGGAUAAACAAACAAUAGCUAUUCUACAGCUAGACAGAAGGUUCCUGUGCCACUGCCACUGCCGCCACCACCACCACCACCACCACCACCACCUCAGUACAGCUCCAGGGUGGGAGCCACCCUUAGGGGAGGACCAGGAGAAAAAAGAGAAAAAAAGAAAAAAGCGAAAUCUAUGUGAAUCUGUAUUGAUAUAAUUAAAUGAUUACGUAAAUAAAUAAAUGGAGGUGAAGAGACAAA
rnacentral:lncRNA from 1 species